CACCUGUUCUCACCCUCCUUAAUCAGCAUUACCACCCUACUUAAACCUGAUCAGUCAUUCCUUCUCUCUGUUUUGUCUUGCAUGCAAGACACUGCGUGACAAGCCUUGCUGUAGCAAAAGCUUACUUAGUUACUUAAGGCCUCAAAGAACCAGAAUGCCGUGGCUGGCCUCCAUGCCGAUCUUCCCACCGCCCUGCCCGCCUGAGCUCACCAGCUGUCCCGCCCCUCUCCGCAUGCAUGGACGGCUCGGGGCCUCCACCAUCCCGCCAAUCUACAGAACCCCUCUCCUCUCAUGCCUCUGAGGCAUGCAAAGGCAGGCCUCUAGUGCUGUUGGACAGGACCAUUUCCUGGCUACAGAAGAUCUGGGAGGGGUGGGGGGGUCCAGAAGCAGUCCGUAAACAUCCCGGACGCCAUGGCUCCACCGCUGCCGAGGGCCUUCCAUCUCUCUCUGUCCCCCCUCAAUCAUCCGUUCCAUUCUCAUUUUCCCACUGAAUCCACGUUCUCACAUCGGUUUCCUCAAUAAAUAUUCUAAGCCCAUUUCAUGGCCUGUCCUUAAACCCAUGAGUAUGUUUUAUUAUGAGCCAGUCGUAUCUAUAGCUAGGUUUCUGUCUAACUGUUGAUAUUUUCAUGCAAGUACUCCAAAAUCUACAUAAAAACAAUAAGCAUGUUCUGCUGCCAGAGAUAUUUCCAUCAAAUUGACUUGUUGCAGAUAAGGCUGUGCGUGAUGACGUAGUGCACAUAAAUACCUGUGUGCAGUUAAAUUCCCAUAUACCGAAUAAAAUGGGCUUCCAAUGCAUUUUCAACUCUACUCUGAAAAUGUGCCAUAGUGAGUGUGCCCACUCUGCUUCUGGCUCGGUAUUGACACGUGCAUUCCAUGCUGUUGGCAAGAGUGCAUGUAUAGCAUACAUGAUGAGAUUAUUAUAGAUGAAAGAGC
rnacentral:lncRNA from 1 species